AGGACGAACGCUGGCGGCGUGCUUAACACAUGCAAGUCGAACGGUGAAGCCUUUCGGGUGGAUCAGUGGCGAACGGGUGAGUAACACGUGGGCAAUCUGCCCUGCAUUCUGGGACAAGCCUUGGAAACGAGGUCUAAUACCGGAUACGACGCAUCCCCGCAUGGGGUGUGCGUGGAAAGCUCCGGCGAUGCAGGAUGAGCCCGCGGCCUAUCAGCUUGUUGGUGGGUGAUGGCCUACCAAGGCGACGACGGGUA
rnacentral:rRNA from 1 species